rnacentral:misc_RNA from 1 species
CGCACAUUGCGCCCGCUGGUAAUCCAGCGGGCAUGCCUGUCCGAGCGUCAUUUAGCUCCUUAGGCUUAGCCUAGUGUUAGGGGGCCGUAGCUUAUACGCCCCCUGAAAUAUAGUGGCAGCACGCCGUAGCGCCUUUUGCGUAGUAGCUUAGCUCGCACUAGGACUAUAGUGACGCUUGCCUUCUAAAGCACCUUGGUGCUCAGUAUAGUUGACCUCGGAUCAGGUAGGAAUACCCGCUGAACUUAA